GACGAACGCUGGCGGCGUGCUUAACACAUGCAAGUCGAACGGAAAGGCCCUUCGGGGUACUCGAGUGGCGAACGGGUGAGUAACACGCGGGUAAUCUGCCCUGCACUUCGGGAUAAGCCUGGGAAACUGGGUCUAAUACCGGAUAUGACCCCGAGGCGCAUGCCUUGGGGUGGAAAGCUUUUGCGGUGUGGGAUGGGCCCGCGGCCUAUCAGCUUGUUGGUGGGGUGAUGGCCUACCAAGGCGACGACGGGUAGCCGGCCUGAGAGGGUGUCCGGCCACACUGGGACUGAGAUACGGCCCAGACUCCUACGGGAGGCAGCAGUGGGGAAUAUUGCACAAUGGGCGCAAGCCUGAUGCAGCGACGCCGCGUGGGGGAUGACGGCCUUCGGGUUGUAAACCUCUUUCACCAUCGACGAAGGUCCGGGUUUCUCGG
rnacentral:rRNA from 1 species